rnacentral:rRNA from 1 species
CCUACGGGGAGGCAGCAGUGGGGAAUAUUGGACAAUGGGCGAAAGCCUGAUCCAGCCAUGCCGCGUGUGUGAAGAAGGCCUUCGGGUUGUAAAGCACUUUCAGUGGGGAAGAAAGCCUUGGGGCUAAUACCCUCGAGGAAGGACAUCACCCACAGAAGAAGCACCGGCUAACUCCGUGCCAGCAGCCGCGGUAAUACGGAGGGUGCGAGCGUUAAUCGGAAUUACUGGGCGUAAAGCGCGCGUAGGCGGUCUGAUAAGCCGGUUGUGAAAGCCCCGGGCUCAACCUGGGAACGGCAUCCGGAACUGUCAGGCUAGAGUGCAGGAGAGGAAGGUAGAAUUCCCGGUGUAGCGGUGAAAUGCGUAGAGAUCGGGAGGAAUACCAGUGGCGAAGGCGGUCUUCUGGACUGACACUGACGCUGAGGUGCGAAAGCGUGGGUAGCAAACAGGAUUAGAUACCCUUGUAGUC